rnacentral:rRNA from 1 species
UACGGAGGAUCCGAGCGUUAUCCGGAUUUAUUGGGUUUAAAGGGAGCGUAGGCGGGUUGUUAAGUCAGUUGUGAAAGUUUGCGGCUCAACCGUAAAAUUGCAGUUGAUACUGGCAUCCUUGAGUACAGUAGAGGUAGGCGGAAUUCGUGGUGUAGCCGUGAAAUGCUUAGAUAUCACGAAGAACUCCGAUUGCGAAGGCAGCCUGCUGGACUGUAACUGACGCUGAUGCUCGAAAGUGUGGGUAUCAAACAGG